UGAUGCGGUAGAGGAGCGUUCUGUAAGCCUGUGAAGGUGAGUUGAGAAGCUUGCUGGAGGAAUCAGAAGUGCGAAUGCUGACAUGAGAAACGACAAUGGGUGUGAAAAACACCCACGCCGAAAGACCAAGGUUUCCUGCGCAACGUUAAUCGACGCAGGGUUAGUCGGUCCCUAAGGCGAGGCUGAAAAGCGUAGUCGAUGGAAAACAGGUUAAUAUUCCUGUACUUCUGGUUAUUGCGAUGGAGGGACGGAGAAGGCUAGGCCAGCUUGGCGUUGGUUGUCCAAGUUUAAGGUGGUAGGCUG
rnacentral:rRNA from 1 species